AGCAAGAGCCCGGAGAUGGAUUCUGAGACAUGAAUCCAGGCCCUACGGGGCGCAGCAGGCGCGAAAACUUUACAAUGCGGGAAACCGUGAUAAGGGGACACCGAGUGCCAGCAUCAUAUGCUGGCUGUCCGGAUGUGUAAAAUACAUCCGUUAGCAAGGGCCGGGCAAGACCGGUGCCAGCCGCCGCGGUAACACCGGCGGCCCGAGUGGUGAUCGUGAUUAUUGGGUCUAAAGGGUCCGUAGCCGGUUUGGUCAGUCCUCCGGGAAAUCUGAUAGCUCAACUAUUAGGCUUUCGGGGGAUACUGCCAGACUUGGAACCGGGAGAGGUAAGAGGUACUACAGGGGUAGGAGUGAAAUCUUGUAAUCCCUGUGGGACCACCUGUGGCGAAGGCGUCUUACCAGAACGGGUUCGACGGUGAGGGACGAAAGCUGGGGGCACGAACCGGAUUAGAUACCCGGGUAGUCCCAGCCGUAAACGAUGCUCGCUAGGUGUCAGGCAUGGCGCGACCGUGUCUGGUGCCGCAGGGAAGCCGUGAAGCGAGCCACCUGGGAAGUACGGCCGCAAGGCUGAAACUUAAAGGAAUUGGCGGGGGAGCACAACAACGGGUGGAGCCUGCGGUUUAAUUGGACUCAACGCCGGACAACUCACCGGGGGCGACAGCAAUAUGUAGGCCAAGCUGAAGACUUUGCCUGAAUCGCUGAGAGGAGGUGCAUGGCCGUCGCCAGUUCGUACUGUGAAGCAUCCUGUUAAGUCAGGCAACGAGCGAGACCCGUGCCCACUGUUACCAGCAUGUCCUCCGGGACGAUGGGUACUCUGUGGGGACCGCCGAUGUUAAAUCGGAGGAAGGUGCGGGCCACGGUAGGUCAGUAUGCCCCGAAUCUCCCGGGCUACACGCGGGCUACAAUGGAUGGGACAAUGGGUCCCUCCCCUGAAAAGGGCUGGUAAUCUCACAAACCCAUUCGUAGUUCGGAUCGAGGGCUGUAACUCGCCCUCGUGAAGCUGGAAUCCGUAGUAAUCGCGUUCA
rnacentral:rRNA from 1 species